rnacentral:pre_miRNA from 1 species
UCUGUGAGGUCCUUGGGGACAGCUCUGUGGGGUCACCUCUAUGGGGUCUUGGGGUCACUUCUAUGGGG